ACGAACGCUGGCGGCGUGCCUAACACAUGCAAGUCAACUUGACUGAAGGAGCAAUCUGACAGUAGAGUGGCGCAAGGGUGCGUAACGCGUAAGUAACUUGCCCAAGGUAAGGAAUAACGUCGAGAAAUCGGCGCUAAUACCUCAUAAUGCAGCGGAUCCGCAUGGAUAUGUUGUUAAAGGUUUACCGCCUUGGGAUGGGCUUGCGUCUGAUUAGUUAGUUGGUGUGGUAACGGCACACCAAGGCUACGAUCAGUAACUGGUCUGAGAGGAUGAUCAGUCACACUGGAACUGAGACACGGUCCAGACUCCUACGGGAGGCAGCAGUGAGGAAUAUUGGGCAAUGCUCGAAAGAGUGACCCAGCAACGCCGCGUGGAGGAUGAAGGUAUUCUAUAUCGUAAACUCCUGUGAGAGCAGACGAAAGACAGAUUAUUAAUCUGGAUGACUGUAUGCUCAGAGGAAGCCCCGGCUAACUACGUG
rnacentral:rRNA from 1 species